GGGGAGGGAGGAGGAGGUGGCUCUACACGUGUCUCACCUUGUGGAGACACUGUAGAUGGCCCCGUAGCUUCUCUUUCCGCACGUUGGAUCCGUGAGACUCUCCCGGAUCGCUUGGCUACGGCUCUUUUGGGUCCCAUUUCUCCAAGAUUUUGAAGUAAUCUACUAUUUGGAGAUGAUUGGAGGAGAUUGGAGAGUGGGAAAUAGGGUUUUCGGAAGAGGACAAAGGGUAAACAGUGCCCUAGAUAGCUCACGGGUCCCCCUUU
rnacentral:lncRNA from 1 species